rnacentral:snRNA from 1 species
GCCUUAUGCACAUAAACAGAUGGAAUGAUACAGAGAAGGUUAGCAUGGCUCCUGUAAAAAGGGUGACAAGCAAAUUCACGAAGCUUUUGAUAUUUAG